UAAGGAAUAUUGGACAAUGGUCGCAAGACUGAUCCGGCCAUGCCGCGUGCAGGAAGACGGCCCUAUGGGUUGUAAACUGCUUUUGUACCAGAGAAAACCUAUCUACGUGUAGAUAGCUGAUAGUAUGGUAGGAAUAAGCAUCGGCUAACUUCGUGCCAGCAGCCGCGGUAAGACGAAGGAUGCAAGCGUUAUCCGGAUUCAUUGGGUUUAAAGGGUGCGUAGGCGGGCUUGUAAGUCAGUGGUGAAAUCUCUCAGCUUAACUGAGAAACUGCCAUUGAUACUGCAUGCCUAGAGUAUAGAUGACGUUGGCGGAAUAUGACAUGUAGUGGUGAAAUACUUAGAUAUGUCAUAGAACACCGAUUGCGAAGGCAGCUAACGAAACUAUAACUGACGCUGAGGCACGAAAGUGCGGGGAUCAAACA
rnacentral:rRNA from 1 species